rnacentral:rRNA from 1 species
CUACGGGUUGCUGCAGUGAGGAAUAUUGCACAAUGGGGGGAACCCUGAUGCAGCAACGCCGCAUGGAGGAUGACGCAUUUCGGUGUGUAAACUCCUUUUAUAUGUCAAGAAAAUGACGGUAGCAUAUGAAUAAGCACCGGCUAACUCCGUGCCAGCGGCCGCGGUAAUACGGAGGGUGCAAGCGUUACUCGGAAUCACUGGGCGUAAAGGACGCGUAGGCGGGUUGGAAAGUCAGGUGUGAAAUCCUACAGCUUAACUGUAGAACUGCACUUGAAACUUCUAAUCUAGAGUAUGGGAGGGGGAGAUGGAAUUAGUGGUGUAGGGGUAAAAUCCGUAGAUAUCACUAGGAAUACCUAAAGCGAAGGCGAUCUCCUGGAACAUUACUGACGCUAAGGCGUGAAAGCGUGGGGAGCAAACAGGAUUAGAUACCCGAGUAGUC